UACGUAGGAGGCGAGCGUUGUCCGGAUUUACUGGGCGUAAAGGGCGCGCAGGCGGCACGAUAAGUAAGGUGUGAAAUCUCCCUGCUCAACGGGGAGGGAGCACUUUAGACUGUCGAGCUAGAGGUGGGUAGAGGGUGGUGGAAUUGCUGGUGUAGCGGUGAAAUGCGUAGAGAUCAGCAGGAACACCCGUGGCGAAGGCGGCCACCUGGGCCUAACCUGACGCUGAGGCGCGAAGGCUAGGGGAGCGAACGGG
rnacentral:rRNA from 1 species